CCUUCCUUCCUGGCCUCACAGAUACAGCUGCAGUGCCACCAAACUUCUGUAAUGGAAAGAGCAAUGGGCAAUACACCAACCCUGCUGACCCAAAUUCUUUUUACAAUUGUUGGGAAGGAAGAACCUACCUCCAAAACUGCCCAUCAAAUCUGGUCUUUAACCCAAAAUGCAGCUGCUGUGGCUAUGAUAUAACUCAGUUUACGAC